rnacentral:rRNA from 1 species
GGAGCAUUCUUAAAGGAACGAAGCAGUACCGAAAGGAGCUGUGGACUUUUAAGAAGAGAGAAUGCCGGAAUGAGUAGCGAGAGUAAGGUGAGAAUCCUUACGGCCGAAUAUCCAAGGUUUCCAGGGUAAAGCUGAUCUGCCCUGGGGAAGUCGGGACCUAAGGCGAGGCCGAGAGGCGUAGCCGAUGGACAACAGGUUGAGAUUCCUGUACUACAGUAUGACAGAACUGUGGGGACGCAGAAGGAGAGCACUACCUGGAAUGGAAUCCAGGGGCAAGCACAGGAGGGGUACGGCUGGAAAAACCGCCGUGCAACCCAAAGGUGUGACGCAUACCGAACUAAAGUAGGGAAAUGUGUGAGCCGGCUGCCGAGAAAAGCCGCUAUUGUUUGUACUGUACCCGUACCGUAAACCGACACAGGUGGAUGAGGAGAGAAUCCUAAGGCCGACGGAAGAAGCAUUGCUAAGGAACUCGGCAAAAUGACCCUGUAACUUCGGGAGAAAGGGUGCCUCGAAAGAGGCCGCAGAGAAUAGGCCCAAGCAACUGUUUAGCAAAAACACAGGUCUAUGCAAAACCGCAAGGUGAAGUAUAUGGGCUGACGCCUGCCCGGUGCUGGAAGGUUAAGGGGAGAUGUCAGGAGACGAAGCAUCGAACUUAAGCCCCAGUAAACGGCGGCCGUAACGAUAACGGUCCUAAGGUAGCGAAAUUCCUUGUCGGGUAAGUUCCGACCCGCACGAAAGGCGUAAUGAUUUGGGCGCUGUCUCGGCAAUGCAUCCGGUGAAAUUGAAGUGCCAGUGAAGAUGCUGGCUACCCGCGCCAGGACGGAAAGACCCCAUGGAGCUUUACUCCAGCUUGAUACUGGGAUUCGGUAUUGUAUGUACAGGAUAGGUGGGAGGCUGAGAAAUGGUGACGCCAGUCGCCAUGGAGCCGCUGUUGGGAUACCACCCUUGCAGUACUGGAUUUCUAACCAGCAGCCGUGAUCCGGCUGGGGGACAAUGUCAGGUGGGGAGUUUGACUGGGGCGGUCGCCUCCGAAAGGGUAUCGGAGGCGCUCAAAGGUCCCCUCAGAAUGGUCGGAAACCAUUCGAAGAGUGCAAAGGCAGAAGGGAGCUUGACUGCGACACCGACGGGUGGGGCAGGUACGAAAGUAGGACUUAGUGAUCCGGUGGUAUUAAGUGGGAAUGCCAUCGCUCAACGGAUAAAAGCUACCCUGGGAUAACAGGCUUAUCACUCCCAAGAGUUCACAUCGACGGAGUGGUUUGGCACCUCGAUGUCGGCUCAUCGCAUCCUGGGGCUGUAGUAGGUCCCAAGGGUUGGGCUGUUCGACCAUUAAAGCGGUACGCGAGCUGGGUUCAGAACGUCGUGAGACAGUUCGGUCCCUAUCCGGCGUGGGCGUAGGAUAUUUGAGAGGAGCUGACCUUAGUACGAGAGGACCGGGUUGGACUGACCUCUGGUGCACCGGUUGUCAUGCCAAUGGCACAGCCGGGUAGCCAAGUCGGGAAGGGAUAAACGCUGAAGCCAUCUAAGCGUGAAGCCCCCCUCAAGAUGAGAUAUCCCCCGCAUAAGCGGUAAGACCCCUUGAAGACGACGAGGUAGAUAGGGCAGAGGUGGAAGUGCAGUAAUGUAUGGAGCUGACUGCUACUAAUAGGUCGAAGGCUUAAC